CGAAUCUAAAAUUGACGUAUUCUCGCGCUUUUUGCAAAUCAUUCCCUGCUCAAUUUAAAUUUUACCCAAGGCCCGUACACGUGUUACAUAGUGAAAUAAGUUUCAUAGAGAGGAAGAGAGGUGUAGACAACGGUGUAGAGUUUGGGGCAACAACCAUAUCCAAUUCAACACGUAUCACCAUUUCAAGGAAUAACAAAAUCCAUAACAGAUUUGGAUGCUGAAGACGCUGCAAACCCGAGUGCAAACCGCAUAAGGUUUAAAUUAGGGAACUGGCUACUGGGAGUGACAGAAUAGCGGCAGACUCAACCUUUGCGGAAUAUGAUACUGUUCGCUCUGGGUCGUCCAAUGGAAUACAUGGAGUUCUCGAUGGAUGAGAAACGUUAGCAUUGAAUUCAGACAACACAAAUUGAAAAAGGAAAUGCUUUGUAACCAAAACAAGAGGACACCGUGGAGAACUCGCAGAAAACCCAUUCCAAUGCAACCCUGUACCCCACACCUUAUUCAUGUCUAAAUUUUGAAUUGUGACCUAUCGCUGGUUAACC